rnacentral:rRNA from 1 species
UUAGACAGUCAUAAUAAACAGGUCACACCCGUUCCCAUCUCGAACACGGAAGUUAAGCUGUUUAUGUUAUGGGCACACUGACUAAUCGUCGGAAAACCUAUAAGCUGUCACCU